rnacentral:rRNA from 1 species
UACGAAGGGGACUAGCGUUGUUCGGAAUUACUGGGCGUAAAGCGCACGUAGGCGGAUUUGUUAGUCAGGGGUGAAAUCCCGGGGCUCAACCUCGGAACUGCCUUUGAUACUGCAAGUCUCGAGUCCGAUAGAGGUGGGUGGAAUUCCUAGUGUAGAGGUGAAAUUCGUAGAUAUUCGGAAGAACACCAGUGGCGAAGGCGGCUCACUGGUCCGGUACUGACGCUGAGGUGCGAAAGCGUGGGGAGCAAACAGG